UACGGAGGGUGCAAGCGUUAUCCGGAAUCAUUGGGUUUAAAGGGUCCGCAGGCGGACGUAUAAGUCAGUGGUGAAAGCCUACAGCUCAACUGUAGAACUGCCAUUGAUACUGUACGUCUUGAAUUCGGUCGAAGUGGGCGGAAUAUGACAUGUAGCGGUGAAAUGCUUAGAUAUGUCAUAGAACACCGAUAGCGAAGGCAGCUCACUAGGCCUGGAUUGACGCUCAUGGACGAAAGCGUGGGGAGCAAACAGGAUUAGAAA
rnacentral:rRNA from 1 species